rnacentral:rRNA from 1 species
GACGAACGCUGGCGGCGUGCCUAAUACAUGCAAGUCGAGCGAGACUCUUCGGAGUCUAGCGGCGGACGGGUGAGUAACACGUGGGCAACCUGCCUGUAAGACUGGGAUAACACCGGGAAACCGGUGCUAAUACCGGAUAGUCCUUUUUCUCUCAUGAGGAAAGGCUGAAAGUCGGUUUCGGCUGACACUUGCAGAUGGGCCCGCGGCGCAUUAACUAGUUGGUGAGGUAACGGCUCACCAAGGCGACGAUGCGUAGCCGACCUGAGAGGGUGAUCGGCCACACUGGGACUGAGACACGGCCCAGACUCCUACGGGAGGCAGCAGUAGGGAAUCUUCCACAAUGGACGAAAGUCUGAUGGAGCAACGCCGCGUGAGCGAUGAAGGCCUUCGGGUCGUAAAGCUCUGUUGUUAGGGAAGAACAAGUACCGGAGUAACUGCCGGUACCUUGACGGUACCUAACCAGAAAGCCACGGCUAACUACGUGCCAGCCGCCGCAGUAACAC